UACGUAGGGUGCAAGCGUUGUCCGGAAUUAUUGGGCGUAAAGAGCUCGUAGGCGGUCUGUUGCGUCGGCUGUGAAAACCCGGGGCUCAACCCCGGGCCUGCAGCCGAUACGGGCAGACUAGAGUUCGGCAGGGGAGACUGGAAUUCCUGGUGUAGCGGUGAAAUGCGCAGAUAUCGAGAGGAACACCUGCGGCGAAGGCGGGUUGCUGGGCUGACACUGACGCUGAAGUGCGAAAGCUAGGGGAGCGAACGGG
rnacentral:rRNA from 1 species